CUACCACUCACAUCGUCUACCACUCCAUUCUCCGUGUGGUCCACAUCAAGAACGCUGCAUUCCACUGAGCCGGAUGCGGAAGUGAUGUCAGUCGAAAAAACAGAAAUGACGUUACGCUAAAAAUCACGUUCAGGUGAUCGGCAAAGAAAAUAAUGUAUAUAAGAAGACAUUUGGGACUCAGAGACCAGCAUUGGAAGAAGGCUUACUGCCAAAACGCCUUUUCUGCAUUUAGUUUUACACAUUUGUUUUUAUACUCACUCGUGGUUACUAAUUAUAGGGCUAAGUGGAAUUCCAGCCUUUUCUUAUUAUAUUGUAUCUAUAUGCUGGCUUCCACUCCCAUAGUACCUUGAGGUGUUGU